AAGGGGUAGGAUUGGGGGUGGGGGAGCUUCUCCAUUACUCUCCUUAGUAUGCCAGCUGGAGACAAGCUUAGAGUGAUCUCCAAAGCCACGACUGGGUUUGGAGGCUCCACAGACAAGAGAUCAGAGGAAGCUGAGGCUUGGAAGCCACAGGGCCCCGUGGAAGGAGGGCAUACCCCCAUCCUCCUUGUUCUUUGUCCUCACUAUUUAAAGUCCAAGGUCAAGCUGGGCACGAGAUAGCUAACCAACCCUCCGAGUAAAGGCCCCCACUCCUCUGUGGGGUGUCCCCGCCUCAGGGGACUAUGUGGCCAGACCUGGAGACAAGGUGGCUGCCUGGGUGAAGGCCGUGGAUGGGGACGAGCAGUGGAUCCUGGCCGAGGUGGUCAGUUACAGCCAUGCCACCAACAAGUAUGAGGUAGAUGACAUCAAUGAAGAAGGCAAAGACUAGGAGACACACCCUGAGCUGACGCUGGAUCAUCCCGCUGCCCCAGUGGAAGGACAACCCCGAGAUGGACCUGGAGGCCUUAUUUGGGCCAGGGUGGGUCAUGGAACUUGGGCGAGGCAGGAGAGGUAGUCAAGGAGACAACCACCUUCUCAGGAUGCUGCGACCUUGGUGACCGCACGGCCAACACAGUAAGCCUCAGCAUUCGCCUGGUCACUGAGUUCAAGCAAAGCUAUCCCCAGUAGGGACUUUCCCUUUUGAGAACAUGUGCAUUUUGAUUUUACCUGUCCUCAAACUGACCCUUUGCUCAUUUUAAUAGUAAAAACCACACCCCUGGGUGGAGAUUUAAAAUGCUAAUGAGACAUGUGUCCUAGAAACAGGCAUGUAUAGCAAAUGCCCAUGUGCACCCAGAGGACCACCCAGAUCAUGCUCACUAGUGACGCCGCUUCCCACCCAUUAUGAAAAAUUGAGUGAGAUUCCCAUAAGGGGAGUUUCCCUGCAGUAAUUAACACUGACCCACCCUGACGAGAAGCCCGUUCUGAACUCGCUCGAGGUGUAUUGUCUAUUAUGCACUUAACUUGCAAAAUACAGUUUUUAUUUUGCAAUACUUUA